rnacentral:rRNA from 1 species
GGGCCCGCACAAGCGGCGGAGCAUGUUGCUUAAUUCGACGCGACGCGAAGAACCUUACCAGGGCUUGACAUGUAGGGAAAAGCCGUGGAGACACGGUGUCCGCAAGGGCCCUACACAGGUGUUGCAUGGCUGUCGUCAGCUCGUGUCGUGAGAUGUUGGGUUAAGUCCCGCAACGAGCGCAACCCUUGUCCUAUGUUGCCAGCGGUUCAAGCCGGGGACUCAUAGGAGACUGCCGGGGUCAACUCGGAGGAAGGUGGGGACGACGUCAAGUCAUCAUGGCCCUUAUGUCCUGGGCUGCAAACAUGCUACAAUGGCCGGUACAGAGGGCUGCAAACCCGCGAGGGGGAGCCAAUCCCAAAAAGCCGGUCUCAGUUCGGAUCGGGGUCUGCAACUCGACCCCGUGAAGUCGGAGUCGCUAGUAAUCGCGGAUCAGCAACGCCGCGGUGAAUACGUUCCCGGGCCUU